rnacentral:rRNA from 1 species
UACAGAGGUCUCAAGCGUUGUUCGGAUUCAUUGGGCGUAAAGAGCGUGUAGGCGGCCAUGUAGGUCCGUUGUGAAAACUCGAGGCUCAACCUCGAGACGCCGAUGGAAACCAUGUGGCUAGAGUCCGGAAGAGGAGAGUGGAAUUCCUGGUGUAGCGGUGAAAUGCGCAGAUAUCGCUUGGAACGCCAACGGUGAAAACAGCUCGCUGGGGAUGCGCUGACGCUGAGACACGAAAGCCAGGGGAGCAAACGGG